CAGACAGACAUCAUUUCCAGUCAUUUCUACUCAUGAUUCAUCAGCUGAAUUAGUCAUAAGACCCCACCCUAUCACAAGGGACCAGGAAACAUAGUCCUUUUCUGUGCCUGGAGUAGGGAAGAUGGAAAGCCCAGGGCAAGAAGGCCACUGAUGUAGCCCACCCAGGCCAGCCUACCGAGACGAAGGAGAAGGAGAAGGGCAGAGAGUUGAUAUCAGGAUAUACUAUACAGGAUAUAGAUUUUCAAAAGGGCAUUUGGAGUCCAGCGUCUCCAUGUGGACUUCACCCAGUAACAAAAUAUCUUAUCAAUUUGAAGAUGAACGUUUUUCACGUUUUAACACCUCUGAAGUUGACAGAAUCUUACGGUUGCUGUUCUCCAGGUGGCAGCCAGGACGUAGCUGCUGUUGCCUGCCCUUGCACAAACCUAGAUGUUAGUCCUCAUUCAGGUUGUCUUUAAAUGAUUCGUUGACUGUGUGUGUAGAAGAGUUACAGUUGUCCAAUAUGCCUUUGGUGGACCUUUUGUGGACAUCCUUCAGUAAGAACAAUAAAGUGCCAGCAUCAAAACUUAUAGAAUGAGCAUCAGCACCUUGGAAGCAAAUCCCAGAGACAAUAUUGCAGCAGUCUUAAGAAUAUUACCAAAGCUCCUGAUAGCCCAGCUGACAAAGCGUGAAAAAAACUCUGAUCUCAACUCUCCGUUGAAAGUGAUUCAGAGGACCUGGGAAUGUUUCUAUGGGAAACAUUUUAAUGAUACCUCAACCAAUUUUUAAAAAUUUAAGUCAGAUUUAUUGAGGUAUAAUUUACAUACAGUAAAACUAACCCUUUUUAGAUAUACAGUUCUGUGAAUUGGUAAAAAUAUAUAUAAUGUUGUGUAUCCACCACCAAAAUCAAGAGAGUACAUUUUGAGUUUC
ensembl:lncRNA